rnacentral:rRNA from 1 species
AGCUCCAGAAGCGUAUAUUAAAGUUGUUGCAGUUAAAAAGCUCGUAGUUGGAUUUCUGGAUUUGCGCCGCUGGUCCGCAACGGUCUACGUUGUGAGUACCGACGUGCGCGUUUCCAUCCUUCUGGAGAACGUUUCUACCCUUUACUGGGCUGGGCUCGCGAUCCAGGACAUUUACUUUGAAAAAAUUAGAGUGUUUAAAGCAGGCUUUCGCUAUGAAUACAUUAGCAUGGAAUAAUAAUUUAGGACUUUGGUUCUAUUUUGUUGGUUUCUAGGACUGAAGUAAUGAUUGAUAGGGAUAGUUGGGGGUGCUAGUAUUCGGCGGCCAGAGGUGAAAUUCUUGGAUUCGCUGAAGACUAACUUAUGCGAAAGCAUUCACCAAGGAUGUCUUCUUUAAUCAAGA